CCGGGGCGGGGCGCGGCGCCAGCCUAGCCCGAGGAUGGAGGCUGAGGCCGCCUGUUGAGUCACAGUUUCCCUGUGAUGCUCAUUUUAACCAGAUGGCACUUGCUUAGCAGUUUGGAGGAGAAGACCUGUUCCCCUGCAGGUAUGGGCCUUUGGGAUCAUUACCCUCUCCAGAUCUGGCAGCUCCAUCAGGUGGUGGCUCUUUCUCCAAACGUCCUUGACAGCUUUAGUGCUCCUCCUUCUACUGUGCCCUCUGGUGAGCAGGGGUUUUCUGCAUCUGUGGUGACCAUAUUUCUGAACCCAGAUGAAUCAUGGGUAUGAGAAUUCUUGGGGUGUUCAAGGGAACAAAUAUUUAUUUAUUUAUUUAUUGAGAUAGGGUUGUACUCGGUCUGAACUCACCCAGGAGUUCAGUGGCAUGAUCGUGGCUCACUGCAGCCUCAACCCCUGGGCUCCAGCUAUCCUCCCACCUCAGCCUCCCUAGUAGCUGGGACUAAAGGUACAUACCACUAUACCCAGCUAAAUUUUUGUACUUUUUUUUUUUUAAGAGAUGGGGUUUCACCAUGUUGCCCAGGCUGGUCUCAAACACCAGGUCACAAACGAUCUUGUGACCUUGGUGCCUGCCUUGGCCUCCCAGAGUGCUGGGACUGCAGUGGGAGCGGAUCUUUGAAAUUGUGGCUGCCCUGAGAAGCCAGGGGCACAUGGCAGUUGUACCUCUGCUGGGGCAUCCUGGGAGCUUUCCAGCAAUGGGACUUCCCUUUUGGAUAUGGUCAGACUAGUUGCAUGCCUUUUUAUUUUGCUUGUUACCUAGGUUUCUCCCUCAUGAAAUUCACUUAUUUCAGUUACCAAAAAGUACUUUGUAGAUAAUGAUGGGGGCUUCUUACAUUGAUGGCCCAGAAAGGCUGGAAGAUGUAGGUUAACCAGACGGCCCAGGCACAAAAGCCAUAUCCACACAUUCUAAACAGGGAGAGUGCUGAGAGCCCACCCUUUGCUUUGUUUCUGGGAAAAAAUAUUGCCUCCUUCCCCUAAGAAACUGAUCUGAUUUUUCAGUGUGACCGUCAAUGUUCAUCUACCCUAAGGAUACUCAACUCUAUUUCAUGUUGUUGUGCAAAUAAAGCCUAAGGGUUGGUGAGAGGUUCUGGCUUCCCCUAAAAUACUCACUCACUGGUUGUGAACUCUUUUGUGAGAGGUGGAUUCUGAAAGUGAAUGUGUGGCUCUUGAAUACGGGGAUCAACACCAGCUGUGUUGGCAGCAGAACUUGCAGGGUUUUAGGGAAAGAGAUCUGGGGCAACAAAGGGAGGGUAGCUGGGCAGAGUGGGGGUGAGUGGGGUGGAGCUGGAAUGGGGAAGGCCAAGGUAAAGAUGGACCAAGAGCUGAGACUAGCUGAGGAGCCCUGGUCUGCAUGGCUGGGGCAAGGCUGGCUCAAUCUCAGCUCACUGCAACUUCCAUCUCCUGGGUUCAAGCAAUUCUCCUGCCUCAUCCUCCUGAGUAGCUGGGACUACAGGUGCCUGCCCCCAUGCCCCGCUAAUUUUCGUAUUUUUAGUAGAGACAGGUUUUCACCUCAUUGGCCAGGAUGGCCUUGAUCACUUGGCAUUAAGUGAUCCACCCACCUCGGCCUCCCAAAGUGUUAGGAUUACAGGCAUGAGCCACCAUGCCCAGCCCCUUGAACACAGGUCUUUAAAUGGUUUAUUUAACAAAUUCUUACAAGAGUCUACAAUGGGCUUGACUUACGUGGAGGAAAGAUGCCUAUUGUGGAGGAACCCUUACAGUGGACUUUUUUUUUUUUUUUGAGUCAGGGUCUCACUCUGUCACCCAGGGUGGAGUGCACUGGUGUGAUCAUGACUCACUGCAGCCUCGACCUCCUGGCUCAGGUGAUCCUCCCACCUCAGCCUCCCAAGUAGCUGAGACCACAGGUGCACACCACCACGCCCAGCUAGUUUUUUUAUUUUUUGUAGAAAUGGGGUUUCUCCAUGUUGCCUGGUCUGGUCUUGAACUCCUGGGCUCAAACGAUCUGUCCAUCUUGGCUUCCCAAAACCUGAAGCCAGGCCAGGUAUGUUAAUUUCCUCGGGCCCCCAUGUCAAAAUACCACAAACUGGGUGGCUUAAAUGUUGAUCAUUUUAUUGUCUCACCUUUCUUGAGUCAGAAGUCUGAGAUUAAUGUGUCAGUAGGGUUGGUUCCAGGCAUUUGGAGGUGGGGCACUCAUAUUUCCUUCUGAGGGCUGUGCAGGAGAAUCUGUUCCAUGCCCCUCUCCUAACUGCUGUUUUGUUUUGUUUUGUUUUGUUUUGUUUCUCUUUCCUCCAUCUUGUGGAUGCAAAAAUAUAAACUGACCCAAGAGAUUCAUUAUUUAGAAAGUGAUGCCUUAUACCCAGGAUUUAAUCAGUGGCUCUUCAGGUUGCCAUGUAGAAAGCAGCUUUGCUGGCUGCCACUUUCGAUCAAGGGCUAAACUCUGAGGGUGACAUGCCACUAAGGAGCUGAACGGAGCCUGAGUCCUUGUAGCAGAGGCUGGUCUCCAGUCCUGUCUGUUCUUCUUCUUGGGCACACAGCUAGGCUACAUUCCCUAGCCUUCCUUGGAGCUUAGAAUAAUUCCUAGCCAAUAGCAUUUGAGUAUAAUUGAGUGGGCCACCUCCAGAUGUGGCCCAUUACAAGUCACAUUCUCUGCCUCCAACCCAGGUUACUUCAGCACAAAUCUGCAUUAACUUCACAGAUGACUCAAUUAGCAGGUGAUGACUUACUGGCAGUGUUCAUUACGGUGGCCUUUCUAGUUGUCAUCUUCCCAGAUGACAUUUUUAGAAUUUCAUCUCUACACUUUCCAAAAACACUACUUGACACCUGUGGGUUUUAAAAUGAAAUAACCUCAGAUAUGAAAUAACCUUUCCCCAAUCCAUUCAUUGUAGUUGGAAGCUGGUCUUACUAAUGGCAGGGUGACCGUAACACUUGGUUAUGAACCAGGGUAUUGCCUCCAACCAAGCCUUAACAAUCUCAUCCUCCCUUUAGCCUUCCAUGAUUAGACCUCAACUCAUGAGAACUCUUGCCUUGCUCACAAGUGGGAGUAAAUGCUCAUAGCUCUAGAAAUCUCCCAGGAACCAGACAUCACGGAAACUAGAAAGGCUAAGGGAGUCCAAUCUUCCUCUAAAUUGGCCAACAGUAGAGUGGUGGAAAGAGAACAAGCUGCAAACCAGACAGACCCAAGCUUGAAUCUCACCUCUGCCAAGCUACCAGAGCAAAGGAACAAGGAGUUUGGGAGAGAAAAAAAAACACAACACUAGAAACAGCACUGACACAGGUCGUUAAAUACAGAUGUGACCAGCCUUGAUUACAAGUGUUGUCAUCCUCUUUUAACAGGGACCUACCCCGAACUUUCAUGAACCCCUGGUAGCUGAAUAGCAGCUUGUCUAAGCGAGGUGCAGGGAUUUUGUCAAAGUCGGCCUCGGUGUUAAAGGCAGGGCCACCUACCAUGAACUUCUCUCUGUGACUUUAUUCUUUAGCAGUGCUCAAGUGUAAAUAAACUUGUUUACCAGGAUCAGAAUGGCCAUGUUAAUGAAGUCUUAUUUGUGUCACCACAAUGACAAGUAAUUUGUGCACAGCUGGACUCGGAGAGGGGACAAAACCAGAGAAAUUGUAUUUCUGUUCUGAAGUUUCCAUACAGAUGCCUUAGGCCAAAGUUAGUACAGCCAAUAUUUGCCUGUUUCUUUGGAUUGUGUGUCCAUGCUGGAGAAAAGCCUUGUUACUGUGCCCAGUGUGGUAAACGAAAUUAUAUGUACGCAGUGAGAAGAAAAAUGAAAUAAGAAGCACUGAUGAAUGUACCCACGGGUGUGACCUUGGGGGCCAGUGUGUGGUUUUUAUGAAAUGAACGCAUGAAUACGAGGACCCUAAUUAUUGCUUUCAACGGACAAAGUAUGGUGAAUAUAUAGAGAACGUUGCUGUACAACACUGGCUGUGUCUCAAAGCGGCUUUAGAAGUAAAUAUAGAAAUUCUUUGGUACAUGGUAUUGCAUAGAAAAGUCAUUAAGAAAAAAGCAAGACAAUUUGUUAAGACCUUGUUAAGUGGAGCUGGGGGAUGAUUAAUUUUGUUUGUUUGUUUUUGUUGUUCCCUGGUAGAGCUCAACAAACUACAGACCACGGGCCAAAUCUGACCCACCGCUGCUUUUGUAAAUAAAACUUUAUUGGAAAAAAGCCACAUUUGUGUAUGUGUUGUCUGUGGCUGCUUUUGUGCUACCGAGACAGAGGCAAGAAAGGAGAGAAAAAGAGGCAUGGAGCAGGUAUAUUACGGGUUGAAUUGAGUUCACCAAAAAGAUAUGUUGAAAUCCAAAGCCCCAGUGUCUGUGAAAGUUACCUUAUUUGGAAAUAAGGUCUUUGCCAAUGUAAAGAUAAAGUCAUGCUGAAUUAAGGUGAGCCCUAACCUAAUAUGGCUGGUGUCCUUAUAAGAAGAGAAGAGACAGACAAAGGGAAGGAGUCCAUGUGACCACAGGGCCAGUGGAAGUGAUGCAACUGCCUGCCAAGUGCACCAAGGAUGGGUGGCCACCAGCAGAAGCUCGGAAGAUGCAAGGAAGGAUUCUAUCCAGAGUUACAGAGGGAGCAUGGCCCAGCUGACACCUUGAUUUCAAACCUGUAGCCUCAAGAAAUGUGGAUAAUGACCUUCUGUCAUUUUAAGCCACCCCGUCUGCAACACUUUCUUAUGGCAAUGUGAUGGGUAAGCUUAUGUGUCAAUGUGACUGAGCCCCAGGAUGCUUAGAUACUUGAUGAAACA
rnacentral:lncRNA from 1 species